CAUGCGGCUUGUUAUUCUGCCACAAUCUGCUAUUGCCAGAACAUCCCUGACAACAGAACUAUGAUAACUGCUGCAAAAUUUUCUCCUCAACUUCCCAAGUGUUCAGUCAUGAACAAAACAAGAAAGCCAGAAAAUGUGAAAGGUACUGAGAGUCCAGUGCCUACAGCUGGUUUCAGCAAUUGCAGCUUGCGUAAGACCCCGUGUUUGUGAAAGAAACCCAGGAAUCUUUGAACAGGAUGUAAUCAACCUCCGAUCUGCUGAGAAACACUGCAAAAAUGACUUCAGCUGCCAAAAAUAAUAAUGUCGUUUACAAGCAGCUUCUCCUAUGUCUAAGGAAGAACUAGCCACCCAGGAGUGCGUGCUGGCUUUGGAGGAGCGAGAGAAGAAAAAGGGGCAAAUUCUACCUCCCCCCCCACUUUCAAAUACACACUAUCAGAACCCACUGGAAGCUGUGGCCCAUUCCAGAGGUGCUGGCAACAUCGAGGGACAUUCAUAUCCACAAAAAUUCUGAACGAUUACAUGAUCUGGUGCUUUGAAGUCAUCAUUGGAAAUUUGGCUCUAACUGAACUGGUGGUAUCCAAGGAGAUGAUCUCGGACUCACCACUGGUAAGUGUAAGAUGCUUCAAAGUAUUUCUGUGCUUGUCAUUUGCUUCGAGGACUAAGAGAGACAAGUUUGAAAGCAAUAUGUUCUGAUCACGAAACAGCUGGAAAUGGCAGCAACCUGAUACAGAGCAAUCAAGAACUGAAGGUUUAUUUUGAAUGGGCGGCAUUGUCCAACUGUGAGACAGUGAAGCUGAGAAUAAGUACAGACACAAUCAAUAGAGACUUCAGGGGCGAAGUUACUGAGAACUUGUCUUGUUGCAUGUCUUUCUGCUGCCACAUUUGCACUGUACCCAUAGAUUGCAAUACUGUCUGUGGAGAAGGAAACAAUUCUUCAAUUUAUUUUUAUUCUUAAUGACAGCUUCUGAGGUGUCACUUGAAAAUACAAUGAUAAAAUGGCUCUUUCAGAAGUAAAAAGUAUAUUUCAAAGCUCCACUGUAUAUUGGACAGGUAAGAAUGCCUCAUCAUUAAAUGGUCUUUAAUAUA